rnacentral:rRNA from 1 species
AGAGUUUGAUCAUGGCUCAGAUUGAACGCUGGCGGCAGGCUUAACACAUGCAAGUCGAGCGGUAACAGAGAGUAGCUUGCUACUUUGCUGACGAGCGGCGGACGGGUGAGUAAUGCUUGGGAAUAUGCCUUUGAGUGGGGGACAACAGUUGGAAACGACUGCUAAUACCGCAUAAUGUCUACGGACCAAAGGGGGGGACGCUUCGGCACCUCUCGCUCAUAGAUUAGCCCAAGUGAGAUUAGCUAGUUGGUAAGGUAAAGGCUUACCAAGGCGACGAUCUCUAGCUGGUUUGGGAGGAUGAUCAGCCACACUGGGACUGAGACACGGCCCAGACUCCUACGGGAGGCAGCAGUGGGGAAUAUUGCACAAUGGGCGAAAGCCUGAUGCAGCCAUGCCGCGUGUGUGAAGAAGGCCUUCGGGUUGUAAAGCACUUUCAGUUGUGAGGAAAGGAGUGUAGUUAAUAACUGCAUUCUAUGACGUUAGCAACAGAAGAAGCACCGGCUAACUCCGUGCCAGCAGCCGCGGUAAUACGGAGGGUGCGAGCGUUAAUCGGAAUUACUGGGCGUAAAGCGUGCGUAGGCGGAUUGUUAAGUGAGAUGUGAAAGCCCCGGGCUCAACCUGGGAACUGCAUUUCAAACUGGCAGUCUAGAGUAUUGUAGAGGGUGGUGGAAUUUCCAGUGUAGCGGUGAAAUGCGUAGAGAUUGGAAGGAACAUCAGUGGCGAAGGCGGCCACCUGGACAAAUACUGACGCUGAGGCACGAAAGCGUGGGGAGCAAACAGGAUUAGAUACCCUGGUAGUCCACGCCGUAAACGAUGUCAACUAGCUGUCUGUAGACUUGAUCUGUGGGUAGCGAAGCUAACGCGAUAAGUUGACCGCCUGGGGAGUACGGCCGCAAGGUUAAAACUCAAAGGAAUUGACGG